rnacentral:lncRNA from 1 species
UUGAAAAUGAAAUUUCAUACGAAUUUAUGAAUGCAAAUUGAAAUUUGCACAUCCCUAGUCUACAUAAAAAGUGUAGUGAGAACAAAAACGUAUGCUCAAAAACAAAGGUCAGGAAAAAAGUAUCUGAAUAUCAGACAGUACAAAUAUCGAAGAAAUGGAUCCAGUCAAGAGUGGAUGAGCCUUCCGGUCACUUCCUACUGCUGAAAAAGAAAAUAAAGAAUAUAUUUUUAACAGGAAUGGAAGGUUUUGUGAAGUCCUAAUUUUAAUUGAUAUAAGGUACCUUGAACUGUGUUCAGGAAUGUGAAAAGCAGAACAAAUUUUAUGUGGAAGUGAAAUUGCAUAGAAUAAAACUGCAGAAAUGCAGUUUUCUACUUAAAAG